GACGAACGCUGGCGGCGUGCUUAACACAUGCAAGUCGAGCGGAAAGGCCCUGCUUUUGUGGGGUGCUCGAGUGGCGAACGGGUGAGUAACACGUGAGUAACCUUCCCUUGACUUUGGGAUAACUUCAGGAAACUGGGGCUAAUACCGGAUAGGAGCGCCUGCUGCAUGGUGGGGGUUGGAAAGUUUCGGCGGUUGGGGGUGGACUCGCGGCUUAUCAGCUUGUUGGGGGGGUAGUGGCUUACCAAGGCUUUGACGGGUAGCCGGCAUGAGAGGGUGACCGGCCACAUUGGGACUGAGAUACGGCCCAGACUCCUACGGGAGGCAGCAGUGGGGAAUAUUGCACAAUGGGCGGAAGCCUGAUGCAGCAACGCCGCGUGCGGGAUGACGGCCUUCGGGUUGUAAACCGCUUUCGCCUGUGACGAAGCGUGAGUGACGGUAAUGGGUAAAGAAGCACCGGCUAACUACGUG
rnacentral:rRNA from 1 species